UAAUACGGAGGGUGCAAGCGUUAAUCGGAAUCACUGGGCGUAAAGCGCACGUAGGCGGCCCGCUAAGUCAGAUGUGAAACCCCUGGGCUCAACCUGGGAAUGGCAUUUGAUACUAGCGCGCUCGAGUCUGAUAGAGGGGGGUGGAAUUCCAGGUGUAGCGGUGAAAUGCGUAGAUAUCUGGAGGAACACCGGUGGCGAAGGCGGCCCCCUGGAUCAUGACUGACGCUGAGGUGCGAAAGCGUGGGGAGCAAACAGG
rnacentral:rRNA from 1 species